rnacentral:rRNA from 1 species
AGUGAACGCUGGCGGUAGGCCUAACACAUGCAAGUCGAACGGCAGCACAGUAAGAGCUUGCUCUUACGGGUGGCGAGUGGCGGACGGGUGAGGAAUACAUCGGAAUCUACUUUUUCGUGGGGGAUAACGUAGGGAAACUUACGCUAAUACCGCAUACGACCUACGGGUGAAAGCAUGGGAUCUUCGGACCUUGCGCGAUUGAAUGAGCCGAUGUCGGAUUAGCUAGUUGGCGGGGUAAAGGCCCACCAAGGCGACGAUCCGUAGCUGGUCUGAGAGGAUGAUCAGCCACACUGGAACUGAGACACGGUCCAGACUCCUACGGGAGGCAGCAGUGGGGAAUAUUGGACAAUGGGCGCAAGCCUGAUCCAGCCAUACCGCGUGGGUGAAGAAGGCCUUCGGGUUGUAAAGCCCUUUUGUUGGGAAAGAAAAGCAGCAGGUUAAUACCCUGCUGUUCUGACGUUACCCAAAGAAUAAGCACCGGCUAACUUCGUG